rnacentral:RNase_P_RNA from 2 species
ACCGCAGACCGCCUUAUCGCCGUUUUGAGCAAUCAUAAGGGAGGAAAGUCCGGACACCAAAGAGUAGCAUAGCGGGUAACACCCGUCGGUCAAGUCGCAAGGCGUGAUUAGGACAAGUGCAACAGAAAGUAUGUACAGGUAAUGCUGUAGUGAAACCAGGUAAACUCUAUGCGGUGAAAUUUCAAGUAUAUCAGCAUUUAAGGGUUACUCGCCCGUUGCUGAAGGGUAGAAAGAUUGAUCAUGCCAGUAAUGGCGUGACUAGAUAAAUGAUAAGGAUUCUGAGCAAUCAGGAUACAGAACCCGGCUUAUAGGUCUGCAUUUUUU